rnacentral:rRNA from 1 species
AUUGAACGGCGGCGGCAUGCCUUACACAUGCAAUUCGAACGGGGCACACGGGUGCUUGCACCUGGUGGCGAGUGGCGAACGGGUGAGUAAUACAUCGGAACGUACCUUAUCGUGGGGGAUAACGCAGCGAAAGUUGCGCUAAUACCGCAUACGCCCUGAGGGGGAAAGCGGGGGACCGUAAGGCCUCGCGCGAUUAGAGCGGCCGAUGUCUGAUUAGCUUGUUGGUGAGGUAAAAGCUCACCAAGGCGAUGAUCAGUAGCUGGUCUGAGAGGACGAUCAGCCACACUGGGACUGAGACACGGCCCAGACUCCUACGGGAGGCAGCAGUGGGGAAUUUUGGACAAUGGGGGCAACCCUGAUCCAGCAAUGCCGCGUGAGUGAAGAAGGCCUUCGGGUUGUAAAGCUCUUUUGUCAGGGAAGAAACAGCAGCUCUAACACAGACUGCGAAUGACGGUACCUGAAGAAUAAGCACCGGCUAACUACGUGCCAGCAGCCGCGGUAAUACGUAGGGUGCGAGCGUUAAUCGGAAUUACUGGGCGUAAAGCGUGCGCAGGCGGUUAUACAAGACAGGCGUGAAAUCCCCGGGCUUAACCUGGGAAUGGCGUCUGUGACUGUAUAGCUAGAGUGUGUCAGAGGGGGGUGGAAUUCCACGUGUAGCAGUGAAAUGCGUAGAUAUGUGGAGGAACACCAAUGGCGAAGGCAGCCCCCUGGGAUAACAC